rnacentral:rRNA from 1 species
AUUGAACGCUGGCGGCAGGCCUAACACAUGCAAGUCGAGCGGAUGACGGGAGCUUGCUCCUUGAUUCAGCGGCGGACGGGUGAGUAAUGCCUAGGAAUCUGCCUGGUAGUGGGGGACAACGUUUCGAAAGGAACGCUAAUACCGCAUACGUCCUACGGGAGAAAGCAGGGGACCUUCGGGCCUUGCGCUAUCAGAUGAGCCUAGGUCGGAUUAGCUAGUAGGUGAGGUAAUGGCUCACCUAGGCGACGAUCCGUAACUGGUCUGAGAGGAUGAUCAGUCACACUGGAACUGAGACACGGUCCAGACUCCUACGGGAGGCAGCAGUGGGGAAUAUUGGACAAUGGGCGAAAGCCUGAUCCAGCCAUGCCGCGUGUGUGAAGAAGGUCUUCGGAUUGUAAGCACUUUAAGUUGGGAGGAAGGGCAGUAAGUUAAUACCUUGCUGUUUUGACGUUACCGACAGAAUAAGCACCGGCUAACUCUGUGCCAGCAGCCGCGGUAA